rnacentral:lncRNA from 1 species
UGGUGCUCUGCCCUUUUGUGGAAUCUCUCUGUCCGGUUCGUGAGAACCUACAAAAAUAUCUGUUAUUUGACUAACCAUUCCUUGAAGUUUCUUCCAGGGCUGGGAUUUUAUUCUUUUUAAGUUUCCCUGAGAUAUUGCAAAUACAAAUGGCAAAUGAACAUAUAAUGAAGUCACUAUUUUAGAUGUACAAAUACCACACACACUGGUACCUCUGAGGUUAUUUGAACUGCUGAAUAGAGUAACUUUUAUGUUUCCAAUUCUUGCUAAUGGAGAGAGAAGAUUGCCUCUGUGUUAAUGUUGGAUUUUAAAAUAUAUCCUUUUUAAGCACUAUUAAGCAUGUUUUAGGUUACAAAGUAUAUUUUAUUCAUCUUUUCCAUUAUAACAGAAAAAAUAUUAUAAGGAAAUGUCUCAAACUUUUCUUUCUUACAGUUCAGUCUCAUUGAAAAGAAAGAUGUCUACAUCAUUGAGAAGAAAAAGAAGCCCAAUGUGGAUUCAGCACAAUUAACACGGAGUACUUGUCAAGGCACAGACACUGCAGGAAUAAAUUGUAGGCUGCAUUUCUGGUCUUAGGACUCAGUCAAAUGGGACAUACAAGCCAUGCAAGCCAACAGCAUAAUUGAAGACAAGGUGUUGGAAAAACAAUAUGAACAAGUUUUUAUAGGAUCAAAGGAAAGAAAGAAUUCGACUGGAUCUGAGGAGUACAAGAAUAUUCCAGAAUUGGGGAAUAAAUAGGAGAGAUCAACAGAAAGGCCAUUUGAAUCAGAACCAGCAGGCAGGAAGUAUGAAACCAUCUAGCAGCCUGUUCUGUAAGGACAAAAGAUCAUUAAAUAGGCAAAUUGCAGAAAGCCAGGGAUAGUAUGGUUUAGCUUUCUUUAAUUCCUCUUUGUUGAGUUUCCCAUUGUCUUAGAAAUUAUUCAGGAGGUAAGACCUACUGGUGUAUGGCACAGCAGGAAUAUCAGGCCUAUUAAUCACAAUCAAGUCUCUAAUGCUUGUAUUAAUAAAUCAUGUUUAAUGUAGAAUAAUUUCUGAAAAUAAUGCCACAGAUCAAUAAAUAAAUCUCUAAGAAAAGCUGAAGUUCCCAGGGUCAUAUCUGAGAACUUGAGGCCAGGGGAGUUUAGACACUCUAAGUAGAAGACACCCAGGCAAGACUUUUGUGGAUAAGGACAAUUAUACAAGUUCAUAGCCUUCUGAAAUAAGCUUAGUUCUAAUAAUCUCAGGAAAAACACAAAAUAAUUUAGCUAUACUGAUGGUUUUUGGAGAACAAUUUUCCCCAGAUUUAAAAAAGAUGAUGGAUGUGGCUAAAUCACUGUCCCUAACCUCUUUAUAGAACCCAGAGGUUCCAGCCUUAAGAUUUAAUUUCCAGGGUUAGGAUGCAAGAAGUGACUUACUUUUGAGUUCUACCAGGAAGCAAAAUGGCACACAUCAAAAAUAACUCGUUUGGCGAUUUCAUGAGUUUCCAAGCACUUUAUAAAAUGUACAGUCAUCAGCUUUUUUCUUAUUGCAAUAAGAAACUAUUUAAAUGCUAGAAAAUUGUAUAUUUCCAGCUUCAAAAUGAAAUAUGUCAUCCAACAGAAUUAAAGCAGUAACUACAGAAAGAGUAAUCAAUAAAUAGGCUCUUCCUCUUACUACCCUAGAGAAUGGGGAGAUGUUAUUUGAUCAAUUGUUUUUCUAAAAUUUAUGACUGUUAGAAGCCAAGUCUAAAUUUAUAUAGAAAAAGUUCAAGGAAAUGAUGUAACUAUUCUCUAAGAAGGUGAUUUAAGCCUCUGGAUUACAGGAGGUUUAAGAUGUUGCCCUUGUGGUAAUGCAGUGUUUUAACUUAAGGGCCAUCGUGAACAUCAAUUUUCCCUCAUGAAACAAAUCACCAGCCAACCAAAACCUCUAUUACUUCUAUAUUUCCUGAAGGACUCUUCCAUUCCCAAAUUGAGUGUAUGAAUUGCAGCCUCAUAAAGGUACCACCGAAAUGUGGCAGUCUCAUUUGGAGACACACAUUACAAAAGAGUUUCAGCCAAAAUAGUUUGAAUCAGAAAGUGGUCUUUGAAUAGUGAUUCAG